GCAGCGCCGCCCGCCCGCCCAGAAGCCGGCCCGCGGCGAGGCGCCUGUCCCCGAGGGUAUCUGAAGUGCAGUGCCGCUGCCCGGCAAGGCCCACGAGGACCAUGGCCACUCAAGCCGACCUGAUGGAGCUGGACAUGGCCAUGGAGCCAGACAGGAAGGCGGCUGUCAGUCACUGGCAGCAGCAGUCGUACCUGGACUCUGGGAUCCACUCUGGAGCCACCACCACUGCCCCUUGAGUGGCAAAGGCAACCCCGAGGAGGAGGACGUGGACACCUCGCAGGUCCUGUACGAGUGGGAACAGGGCUUCUCACAGUCCUUCACGUAGGAGCAAGUAGCCGACAUCGACGGCCAGUACGCCAUGACACGCGCACAGCGGGUGCGGGCUGCCAUGUUCCUCGAGACGCUGGAUGAGGGCAUGCAGAUCCCAUCCACGCAGUUUGACGCCGCAUACCCCACCAAUGUCCAGCACCUGGCCGAGCCCUCCCAGAUGCUGAAACAUGCCAUGGUAAACCUGAUUAACUACCAGGAUGAUGCGGAACUUGCCACGCGUGCCAUCCCUGAACUCACAAAGCUGCUCAAUGACGAGGACCAGGUGGUGGUCAACAAGGCCGCGGUGAUGGUGCACCAGCUCUCUAAGAAGGAGGCCUCCAGGCACGCCAUCAUGCACUCUCCUCAAAUGGUGUCUGCUAUCGUGCGCACCAUGCAGAACACGAGUGACGUGGAGACCGCGCGCUGUACCACCGGGACCCUGCACAACCUCUCCCACCACCGCGAGGGCUUGCUGGCCAUCUUCAAGUCCAGCGGCAUUCCCGCGCUUGUGAAGAUGCUGGGCUCCCCAGUGGAUUCAGUGCUGUUCUACGCCAUCACGACUCUUCACAACCUCUUACUACACCAAGAAGGAGCUAAGAUGGCAGUGCGUCUAGCUGGCAGCCUACAGAAGAUGGUGGCAUUGCUCAACAAGACGAAUGUCAAAUUUUUGGCGAUUACGACAGACUGCCUUCAGAUUUUAGCUUAUGGAAAUCAGGAAAGCAAGCUGAUUAUUCUGGCCAGUGGUGGACCCCAGGCUUUAGUGAACAUAAUGAGGACCUGUACUUACGAGAAACUACUGUGGACCACGAGCAGGGUGCUGAAGGUGCUAUCCGUCUGCUCCAGUAACAAGCCGGCCAUCGUGGAAGCUGGUGGGAUGCAGGCGUUGGGACUGCACCUGACAGACCCGAGCCAGCGUCUCGUCCAGAACUGUCUUUGGACAUUGAGGAAUCUCUCUGAUGCUGCGACCAAGCAGGAAGGCAUGGAAGGUCUUCUGGGAACACUGGUCCAGCUGCUGGGGUCCGAUGACAUCAACGUGGUCACCUGUGCCACUGGAAUCCUCUCCAACCUCACUUGUAAUAACUACAAGAACAAGAUGAUGGUGUGCCAGGUGGGCGGCAUAGAGGCCCUGGUGCGCACUGUCCUGCGCGCUGGGGACAGAGAGGACAUCACUGAGCCGGCCAUUUGUGCUCUGUGCCAUCUAACCAGCCGACACCAGGAAGCAGAGAUGGCCCAGAAUGCUGUUCGCCUUCACUAUGGCCUUCCAGUGGUGGUGAAACUCCUGCAUCUGCCAUCGCACUGGCCACUGAUUAAGGCUACGGUUGGAUUGAUUCGCAAUCUUGCCCUCUGUCCAGCAAACCAUGCGCCUCUGCGUGAGCAGGGAGCUAUUCCACGCCUGGUCCAGCUGCUUGUGCAUGCUCAUCAGGACACCCAGCGCCGCACGUCAAUGGGUGGGACGCAGCAGCAGUUUGUGGAGGGGGUCCGCAUGGAGGAGAUUGUCGAAGGCUGUACAGGCGCCUUGCACAUCCUUGCCCGGGACGUGCACAACCGCAUUGUCAUCCGAGGACUCAACACCAUUCCGUUGUUCGUGCAGCUGCUGUACUCUCCCAUCGAGAACAUCCAGAGAGUAGCUGCGGGGGUCCUCUGUGAGCUCGCUCAGGACAAGGAGGCUGCGGAGGCCAUCGAGACAGAGGGGGCCACUGCACCCCUGACAGAGCUGCUGCACUAGCGGAAUGAGGGCGUGGCCACCUACGCGGCGGCCAUGCUCUUCCGGAUGUCUGAGGAUAAGCCACGGGACUACAAGAAGCGGCUGUCCAUAGAGCUCACCAGCUCACUUUUCCGGACAGAGCCCAUGGCCUGGAAUGAGACUGCUGACCUUGGACUUGACAUCGGUGCCCAGGGAGAGCCCCUCGGGUAUCGCCAGGACGACCCCAGCUACCGCUCUUUCCACUCCGGCGGCUACGGCCAGGACGCCUUGGGCAUGGACCCCAUGAUGGAGCACGAGAUGGGGGGCCACCACCCAGGUGCCGACUACCCGGUGGAUGGGCUGCCAGACCUGGGACACGCCCAGGACCUCAUGGAUGGGCUGCCGCCAGGUGACAGCUAUCAGCUGGCCUGGUUCGAUACUGACCUGUAACCUCCUUUAGGAGUAACAAUACAAGUGGAUUUGGGGAGUGACUGGAGAAGUGAAGCGUGCACAAGGAGUGGAUCACAGAUGGAAUUUAUGAAGCCCUAGCCUUGCUUGAUAUGAGUUUUUUUUUAAAUAUCUGUAAUGGUACUGACUGCUUGCUUUGGAGUAGCUCUUUAAAUUUCCCCCUUUUUUUUGCAGUAACUGUUAGUUUUUUAAGUCUUGUAGUGUUAUGUUAUAGUGAAUUCUGCUGCAGCAAUUUCUAAUUUUUAAGAAUCGAGUAAUGGUGUAGAACACUAAUCCAUAAUCACUCUAUUGUAAUCUGAAGAAAGUGUAACAUUGUGUAGCCUUUUUGUAUAAAAUAGACAAAUAGAAAUGG